rnacentral:rRNA from 1 species
UACGUAGGUGGCAAGCGUUGUCCGGAUUUACUGGGCGUAAAGAGCGCGCAGGCGGUCGUGCAAGUCGCGUGUGAAAGCCCCCGGCUCAACUGGGGAGGGUCACGCGAUACUGCUCGACUUGAAGGCAGGAGAGGGAAAUGGAAUUCCCGGUGUAGUGGUGAAAUGCGUAGAUAUCGGGAGGAACAUCAGUGGCGAAAGCGGCUUCCUGGUCCAGCACCGACGUUCAGGCACGAAAGCGUGGGGAGCAAACAGG